CAAUAACGCUGAGUUUUUUGCCCCCUCUCCCCUUCAGAACUGCACUUAUUAUUGGGGUUUUGCUGCUUGGAUGGCGUAUUACAUCAACCACCCCCUGUACACCCCCCCCGCUUAUGGAGAUGAGCAGGUGAAGCUGGCGCUGGCGGUGUUCCUGUUCUGUCAACUGGGGAACUUCUCGAUCCACGUGGCGCUGCGCAACCUCCGCCCUG